rnacentral:lncRNA from 1 species
CGUCGCACACCUUGCACAUGUGUGCAAGCCGCCGCUGUCUAGCCUCCAAAGUUAUAAAAGCUGUCAGAUUUUGCAGAUAGUUACAACCAUGUUGGUCCAUGUGUCUCCACCACAAGAUCAAAUAUGCUCUGCGCAUAGUAAAAGAUGGUACUUCCUUUUGCUUUAUUUAUAAGCAAAAAUCAACAACAAAAAUUUGGCCUUAAAUAUAAGCAAAAGUUACCAAAAGUAACUUCAUUAAAUGCUAUCAUUCCAAAAAUACCCCUAAUUAAUUGUUCAAUUUUUACUUGAUUGUAGAGUCUCAAUGCAAAUUUAAUACUAUUAGGAGGUCAUUUUAGGAAUUGUACUAAAAAGAGAAUUUUGGCUUACAAAAGAGACUGGAGGGAGUACAUCUGCUCCAUAUAAGUAGUAAUCCCUUCGUACCACAAUAUAUGUCACUUUAGGGGAAAAAUUUGUACCAUAAUAUAUGUCGCUUUAUAUUACCAAUGAAACAUUUAAUGUUAUUUUUCCUAUUAUACCAUUAACUAUUUAUUACUCUCUAUUCUUUCAAUUCUUCAAUUUAUUUUUUUCAUACAAUAAAUGAAGCAAUUUCUAAUUAAUAAUAUACGAGAGAGCUCCGUGAAAAUUUUGUAAUAUAUAUUAUAGAGGUUCAAUAAAAAAAUAAAAAACUAUUGCAUAGAUCAAAUAAAUUUAAAGAAAAAUAAAAUUAUGUUGAGUC